GAUGAACGCUAGCGGCAGGCUUAAUACAUGCAAGUCGAACGGUAACAGCAGAGUUUACUUUGGCUGACGAGUGGCGAACGGGUGAGUAACGCGUACACAAUCUACCUUUAAGUGAGGGAUAGCCUAUGGAAACGUAGAAUAAUACCUCAUGGUAUUGCAUUAUCGCAUGGUAAUGUGAUUAAAGAUUUAUUGCUUAGAGAUGAGUGUGCGUCCUAUUAGCUAGAUGGUAGUGUAAUGGACUACCAUGGCGACGAUAGGUAGGGGGCGUGAGAGCGUGGACCCCCACACGGGUACUGAGACACGGACCCG
rnacentral:rRNA from 1 species